rnacentral:rRNA from 1 species
GGUGAACGCUGGCGGCGUGCCUAAUACAUGCAAGUCGAGCGAACAGACGAGGAGCUUGCUCCUCUGACGUUAGCGGCGGACGGGUGAGUAACACGUGGAUAACCUACCUAUAAGACUGGGAUAACUUCGGGAAACCGGAGCUAAUACCGGAUAAUAUAUUGAACCGCAUGGUUCAAUAGUGAAAGACGGUUUUGCUGUCACUUAUAGAUGGAUCCGCGCCGCAUUAGCUAGUUGGUAAGGUAACGGCUUACCAAGGCGACGAUGCGUAGCCGACCUGAGAGGGUGAUCGGCCACACUGGAACUGAGACACGGUCCAGCCUCCUACGGGAGGCAGCAGUAGGGAAUCUUCCGCAAUGGGCGAAAGCCUGACGGAGCAACGCCGCGUGAGUGAUGAAGGUCUUCGGAUCGUAAAACUCUGUUAUUAGGGAAGAACAAAUGUGUAAGUAACUAUGCACGUCUUGACGGUACCUAAUCAGAAAGCCACGGCUAACUACGUG